rnacentral:tRNA from 1 species
CCUGGUGGCUCAGAUGGUAAUGAGUCUGCCUGAAAUGCAGGAGACUGGGUUCAAUCCUGCAUCAGGA